AGGACGAACGCUGGCGGCGUGCCUAACACAUGCAAGUCGAACGAGAAAGGGGAGCAAUCCCUGAGUAAAGUGGCGACCGGGUGAGUAACACGUGACUAACCUACCCUCGAGUGUGGAAUAACAUCGGGAAACCGAUGCUAAUACCGCAUAACAUCGGCGCUUUUAAGAGAUGCCGAUCAAAGGAGCAAUCCGCUUGAGGAGGGGGUCGCGGCUGAUUAGCUAGUUGGCGGGGUAACGGCCCACCAAGGCGAAGAUCGGUA
rnacentral:rRNA from 1 species